GGCGAACGGGUGCGUAACGCGUAUGCAACUUACCUUUUACUAGAGAAUAGCCAAGAGAAAUUUUGAUUAAUGCUCUAUGUUCUUAUUUACUCGCAUGAGUAAAUAAGCAAAGCUCCGGCGGUAAAAGAUGGGCAUGCGUCCUAUUAGCUUGUAGGUGAGGUAAUGGCUCACCUAAGCUCCGAUAGGUAGGGGUCCUGAGAGGGAGAUCCCCCACACUGGUACUGAGACACGGACCAGACUUCUACGGAAGGCAGCAGUAAGGAAUAUUGGACAAUGGAGACAACUCUGAUCCAGCCAUGCCGCGUGAAGGAAGACGGCCUUAUGGGUUGUAAACUUCUUUUAUACAGGAAGAAACCUUUCCACGUGUGGAAAGUUGACGGUACUGUAAGAAUAAGGAUCGGCUAACUCCGUGCCAGCAGCCGCGGUAAUACGGAGGAUCCAAGCGUUAUCCGGAAUUAUUGGGUUUAAAGGGUCCGCAGGCUGUUUGUUAAGUCAGAGGUGAAAUCCUACCGCUCAACGGUAGAACUGCCUUUGAUACUGGCAAACUUGAGUUAUUGUGAAGUAGUUAGAAUGUGUAGUGUAGCGGUGAAAUGCAUAGAUAUUACACAGAAUACCGAUUGCGAAAGCAGAUUACUAACAAUAUACUGACGCUGAGGGACGAAAGCGUGGGUAGCGAACAGGAUUAGAUACCCUGGUAGUCCACGCCGUAAACGAUGGUCACUAGCUGUUCGAUGUACAUUGGUACGUUGAGUGGCUAAGCGAAAGUGAUAAGUGACC
rnacentral:rRNA from 1 species